AAGCCAUGGAAGGCAAGCAGGUGGGUCAAAGUUCAGGGGACCGUGGAGAGAGAAGCCUGAGUAGAGUUCGGUCAAGGCACGUUAGCAGGAGGAAGUCAAGGUAAACAAAGCAAAAUGGAUACAUGUGAAAAGAUAUUCAGCUAUCC